rnacentral:rRNA from 1 species
UACAGAGGUCUCGAGCGUUGUUCGGAUUCAUUGGGCGUAAAGGGUGCGUAGGCGGCGAGGCAAGUCUGAUGUGAAAUCCCGGGGCUCAACCCCGGAACUGCAUUGGAUACUGCCUUGCUAGAGUACUGGAGAGGGAACUGGAAUUUACGGUGUAGCAGUGAAAUGCGUAGAGAUCGUAAGGAAGACCAGUGGCGAAGGCGAGUUCCUGGACAGUUACUGACGCUGAGGCACGAAGGCCAGGGGAGCAAACGGG